rnacentral:rRNA from 1 species
GGUCCAGACUCCUACGGGAGGCAGCAGUAGGGAAUCUUCCGCAAUGGGCGAAAGCCUGACGGAGCAACGCCGCGUGAGUGAUGAAGGUCUUCGGAUCGUAAAACUCUGUUAUUAGGGAAGAACAUAUGUGUAAGUAACUGUGCACAUCUUGACGGUACCUAAUCAGAAAGCCACGGCUAACUACGUGCCAGCAGCCGCGGUAAUACGUAGGUGGCAAGCGUUAUCCGGAAUUAUUGGGCGUAAAGCGCGCGUAGGCGGUUUUUUAAGUCUGAUGUGAAAGCCCACGGCUCAACCGUGGAGGGUCAUUGGAAACUGGAAAACUUGAGUGCAGAAGAGGAAAGUGGAAUUCCAUGUGUAGCGGUGAAAUGCGCAGAGAUAUGGAGGAACACCAGUGGCGAAGGCGACUUUCUGGUCUGUAACUGACGCUGAUGUGCGAAA